UACGUAGGGUGCAAGCGUUGUCCGGAAUCACUGGGCGUAAAGGGCGCGUAGGCGGCUCAUUAAGUCUGUGGUGAAAGUCCGGGGCUCAACCUCGGAUCGGCCGUGGCGACUCGUGGGCUGGAGCACUGUAGAGGCGGGUGGAAUUUCGGGUGUAGCGGUGGAAUGCGUAGAGAUCCGGAAGAACACCAGUGGCGAAGGCGGCCCGCUGGGCAGUGGCUGACGCUGAGGCGCGACAGCGUGGGGAGCAAACAGG
rnacentral:rRNA from 1 species